UGUAUUUAAGUAUGGUAUAGAAUAGGUAGUGUAGUGUAGUCUAGUCUAGUUUGAUUGUAGCGUUCAUUUCUCGCUUAUCGUGCGCUAUGGCCGUAACAAAAAAAUUAAACGAAAUAUUUAUUUAGACAUAAAUUAUGACACAUAAACAGACGUGUUUACUACUUCUAGUGCUCAGAUAUGAUUCACCAAAAAUAAUCAAAAUGUAAAGCCCAUGUUACUAUAAGUGUGUCUGGUAAGGGUGAAUGGGAUUUUGAAUCUCAUACAGUGUAAAUUGCGGUUUAUGAGUUAAUCUCGAGUCGUUUGGUUAGUAGUAUAAACAAGAACUAUGCAACAAUGUGGGUUUUGCUCAAUGUUGUCUGGACUGUUACGGAGAGCCAUGUGCAUCGGCAGCAGACGAGGUAGCAGCGAGUCCUACUACAGGGAGCUUGGCGAUCAAGACACAUUGAAAAUUGAAGAUAAAUCGUCGGAUAUAUCUGAUGAAUCCGAAGAAAUAAUUCAAGAAAUCCCGCGAAGAAUAAACUCAAAGGAGUAUUCAGAGGAGCUUGAAAACAUGCCCAAAAAACAUGUUUAUACAGGGAGGUUUCUGACAAUGCACAAACGACGGAAGAAAAGACUAUUGACGAGAUCAUUGUGUCAUGAAGCAGCUUUGCUAGAUGAUUUACAACCCGGACAAGUUCAACGCAUUCUCGACCAGUCGGUGCUGUGGCAGUUCAACGCGUUUACACUAGAAAACGUCUCGGGGGGUCGCUGUCUGCCAGUACUCUGUGUUCAUCUAUUCCACAUCUAUGGCCUGAUAUCGUAUUUCAAGCUAGACGCAGCGAAAGCUUGGAAAUUAUUCAGCUUAAUCGAAGAAGGCUACCACAGUACAAACCCUUACCACAAUUCGGUACAUGCUGCUGAUGUCACGCAGGCCAUGCAUUGCUUUCUACAACAGAAACAAAUCCGAGAUUAUCUGGAGCCCCUUGAAGUGAUGGCGUCCCUGCUGGCAGCGAUCGCGCACGACAUGGACCACCCGGGAGUCAACCAGCCCUUUCUUAUAGCCACUUCCAAUCAUCUUGCCGCCUUGUAUAGAAACACUUCAGUUUUGGAAAAUCACCACUGGCGGUCUGCCGUGAGUUGCCUGAACGAGAGUGGGCUGCUGGACCAGACGUGCGACAUACAAGCCGCGCUGGAACGCCAGAUCAGUUCGCUGAUCCUCGCCACGGACAUCACGCGGCAGCAAGAAUACCUAAGCCAGUUCAAGGGCUACCUCGACACGAACAGCCUCGACAUGUCGCUGAAGGAGCACCGGCACCUGGUGCUGCAGAUCGCGCUCAAGUGCGCGGACAUCUCGAACCCGUGCCGGCCGUGGCCCAUCAGCCGCAAGUGGAGCCACAAGGUGUGCGAGGAGUUCUUCCGCCAGGGCGACUAUGAGCGCAAGCUCAACCUGCCCGUCACGGCGCUGUGCGACCGGCACACCACAUCCAUACCCAAGAUACAAACAGGCUUCUUCAAAUUCGUUGUGACGCCUCUGAUAACCGAAUGGCACCGCUUUUUGAAAAACGAUCUGUCGGAUGAGAUGUUAAAAAAUUUAUUGUACAACCAAAACAAGUGGGACAUGCUCGUAGCGCAAGAAAUAGCGGAGGAGACCGGGACGGAGAUGUCGGACGCGGACGCGGCGGACGACGACCUCGACACCUGCUCCGGCACCAACCUGUCCGCCAGCUCCGAGCUGCUGCUGCCGCUGCGCCGCAGCUCGCUCAACCCCGUCAAGCCCCAAGGCUUGAAAGAACAACUCAGGCGGUUCUCUGUUCCGUUGAAUGUAUUCCAAGAUUCCAAAUUCAAGAAUAGAGACAAAAGUCGAACUCCUUCACUGGCCGAAUCUCGAAUGCGCACCAACGGCAGCCCAUUGAGUAGUGAACAUUCUCUGCAUUCACAACUCAGCGUUCGUGGACAUUGCGAGCACGGCAAGUCCACUGAAAAAAUGUUGAGCACCGAGAAACUACUUCCGGAUUCAUCGAUAGCUUCUAUCACUAAUCCGGUUCAAGCGACCCGUUUGAACAUCGUUUUGAAAGACGGCGGCAGUUGCAAGCUCAUCCGGCAACAGACAUUCCCGCCGCUCGAGACCGUGGCGCACGCGCACGCCCUCUCCGUCAGGCCGCUCCACACGAGCAACGAAGACGCCAUCUACCCGUCCCGGUACAUCAAGACUGAUAUCGGCCAAAAGUUCGACAUGAGUAAAAAAGAGGGCAGAUUUAGCAAUAUAUUCAAAGGAUAUGAUACUGAUAAGACUGAUAACGAUGACGCUUCUGAAAAUAAUAACUUAGACACUACGGAUUGUUCACGUAAUAUAGAGAAAGAGAAUCGGGACCCGUCGAUACGCGGCACGAGCGGCACGCGCGGCAGCCAGUUGCGGGACAACCUGGCGGGCGUGCCGCUCGCGCGCGCCGCCGACCAGCUGGCGCGUCGGCGCAAGUCCAUGCCCACCGACAUCAUCACAUACACUCCGAAAGAGAAAAAGAUGCGAGAAGUGACCACGAUUCCUGAGUUUUUAAAGAAGACUCUAGCCGGAAAAGAUUGUUGGACGCGACGGCGAGGCUCGGCGCCCGUGCCGGUGGCGUCUUCGGAGCUGCGUGGGCUGGCCGCGCUCGGCGCGCUGCGGCACAGCAUCAACGGCGGGCGCCGCAAGCCCGGGCCCGUCGGCACGUGCCAGCAGUGGCUGGCCAAGGCCACGCUCGGCGUGCACGACAGGAAGAUACCGCACCUACCGCGGAGAAGUUCGCUGCCCGUUGAGAUGUUUCGCCCUACUGAAGCUUUGUAACUAUCGGAAUCCAAAUGAAAGUCAUGUGAUUGGUUUAUGCUGAAAAUGUUGAUAUGUACUACUGCAAGAUGGUGGUGUUCGCUGAUUAAUGUCAGAAAGCAAUGUUUGUCUUGAGUGGACAUUGUAUGCUGUAAAUGCAUUAGGAAUGGUAAUUAUAAGAAUAAAACACUUUACUUUGGAUUUGCAGCCGUGCGAAUGAAAUGGUUAGAUAUACAAUUAUGGGAUCGAAUGUGUUUUUAUAUGCAUCGUAUUACUCUUAUGGUACGAUGUCUUUUAAUAUAGCCUCAUUGCGUAUUUUUUAAACAAGGUGUCGUUUGGUAUGUUCAUAUGUUGCCAGCUUUUACACGCAACAUCAACAUCACAAUAAUUUUAAACAUGAGUGACUAAAUGUAUAGAUUUAUUUAUAUAACGUUUUGUUAAAAGAAGAUUAAUAACAUGAAUUGCAUUCUUUUCUGUUCAUUUUGGAGUGUGAAACUUUAAG